rnacentral:snRNA from 1 species
AAAACUGGAAUGAUACAAAGAAGAUUAGCAUGGCCCUUGCGCAAGCAUGAUAUACAAAUUCAUGAAGCAUUCCAUACUAAA